rnacentral:rRNA from 1 species
CCGGCUAACUUCGUGCCAGCAGCCGCGGUAAUACGAAGGGGGCUAGCGUUGCUCGGAAUGACUGGGCGUAAAGGGCGUGUAGGCGGUUUACACAGUCAGAUGUGAAAUCCCCGGGCUUAACCUGGGAGCUGCAUUUGAUACGUGUAGACUAGAGUGUGAGAGAGGGUUGUGGAAUUCCCAGUGUAGAGGUGAAAUUCGUAGAUAUUGGGAAGAACACCGGUGGCGAAGGCGGCA